AACGUAUUAAAUCUUCAGCGUGCCAAAGUUUCUUAUACAAUUACAAAUACGAAAUCUAAUAGAAAUGUGCUGCUCCAAUGAUUGUCUCGAAAAAGUCUGUUGUUCGCUGGAGGUCAAGGCGCUGUUCUUCAGCAUUUGGACUAUCGUACAUGGAGUAAUUUUUUUUGGAGCAUCAAUUUACUUUUUUGUUGCUGCAAUUAAUUGUCCACUAUAUGGGGCCAUUCUGGCAUUGAUAGGCGCCAUGGUGCAUCUAGCAGGUGGACUAUGCUUGUUAUUUGGCUAUGGGGCUGACAUGAGACCCUUGUUUUUGGCUGGCAUCAUUCUGAGCUCCAUAAUUCCCUAUAUAUUAUUGCCAUCUAUUUACCUACCAGUCAUUCAAAUAAUCUUUACUAUUACAUCAUGCAUAUAUUAUAAAAAAGAGAUGCCAAAAUAAUACCGGACUAUGAUGAUACCGGUUUAUGAUUUCGAUUGCUGAUCCAGAAUCAAUUCAAACAAUUACAAAUUUAUUUGAAAGCAAAUGGAAAUUGAUGACAAAAAUGCAAUGGGAAAAUUUAGUUCUUAUAGAUAAUUGGAAUCGAAUUCCUAUUUCUAUAGAAACUUAAUCUUAGGCGGAAAGUAAUCUAUAGGACACUUUUUACAAAACUUUAUACCAUAGCUUUUUAUAGUUGAUUUUCAGGCAUCUCCUAGUCCUAAUUAUGUUUAUAUUCUAAUAGAUAUUCAAAAUUGUUGUAGUACGUAAACAAAAUUCCAGUUAAUUACCAGGCCUGCUCAAUUAUAUUCAUGUAGUUGACACAAAAUUUUUGAAUGACAUUAUAAGCUGUCAAAGUCGUUGAUGUAAACCAAUAAAUUAUA
rnacentral:misc_RNA from 1 species